rnacentral:rRNA from 1 species
UACGAAGGGGGGCUAGCGUUGUUCGGAAUUACUGGGCGUAAAGCGCACGUAGGCGGAUACUUAAGUCAGGGGGUGAAAUCCCGGGGCUCAACCCCGGAACUGCCUUUGAUACUGGGCAUCUCGAGUCCGGAAGAGGUGAGUGGAAUUCCGAGUGUAGAGGUGAAAUUCGUAGAUAUUCGGAGGAACACCAGUGGCGAAGGCGGCUCUCUGGACCGAUACUGACGCUGAGGCGCGAAAGCGUGGGGAGCAAACAGG